GUCGAACGAACCUUCGGGUUAGUGGCGGACGGGUGUGUAACGCGUGGGAAUCUGCCCUCAGGAGGGGGAUAACGGUUGGAAACGACCGCUAAUACCCCAUAUGCCGAGAGGUGAAAUGAAUUUCGCCUGAGGAUGAGCCCGCGUCUGAUUAGCUUGUUGGUGAGGUAAUGGCUCACCAAGGCUUCGAUCAGUAGCUGGUCUGAGAGGAUGAUCAGCCACACUGGGACUGAGACACGGCCCAGACUCCUACGGGAGGCAGCAGUGGGGAAUUUUCCGCAAUGGGCGAAAGCCUGACGGAGCAACGCCGCGUGAGGGAUGAAGGCCUCUGGGCUGUAAACCUCUUUUCUCAAGGAAGAAGAUAUGACGGUACUUGAGGAAUAAGCCACGGCUAAUUCCGUGCCAGCAGCCGCGGUAAUACGGGAGUGGCAAGCGUUAUCCGGAAUUAUUGGGCGUAAAGCGUCCGCAGGCGGCCCUUCAAGUCUGCUGUUAAAGCGUGGAGCUUAACUCCAUUAUGGCAGUGGAAACUGUUGGGCUUGAGUGUGGUAGGGGCAGAGGGAAUUCCCGGUGUAGCGGUGAAAUGCGUAGAUAUCGGGAAGAACACCAGUGGCGAAGGCGCUCUGCUGGGCCAUAACUGACGCUCAUGGACGAAAGCCAGGGGAGCGAAAGGGAUUAGAUACCCCUGUAGUCCUGGCCGUAAACGAUGAACACUAGGUGUCGGGGGAAUCGACCCCUUCGGUGUCGUAGCCAACGCGUUAAGUGUUCCGCCUGGGGAGUACGCACGCAAGUGUGGAACUCAAAGGAAUUGACGGGGGCCCGCAC
rnacentral:rRNA from 1 species